AUACGGAGGGUGCAAGCGUUACUCGGAAUCACUGGGCGUAAAGCGCGCGCAGGCGGCUUGAUAAGUUGGAUGUGAAAGCCUACGGCUCAACCGUAGAACUGCAUCCAAAACUGUCAAGCUAGAGUCUGGGAGGGGAAGAUGGAAUUAGUUGUGUAGGGGUAAAAUCCGUAGAGAUAACUAGGAAUACCAAAAGCGAAGGCGAUCUUCUGGAACAGUACUGACGCUGAGGCGCGAAAGCGCGGGGAGCAAACAGGAUUAGAUACCCCAGUAGUCC
rnacentral:rRNA from 1 species